CAACAUUGAAUGUUGAUUUUUGAAUGAGGAAGGUUCACACAUGCGCAGUGGUUGUAGCAGUAGCACUUUGCUUCUCCCAACUGUCACUGCCGCACAUGGCGCGAAAACCGGAGAAGAAUGGAGGUUUCAGCUGCUCCAGAAGUUAUAGGAUUCAGGAAUUAUACUGACUGAAGAAGAGACAAAGAGAUUCAGAGAUUUACAUUUUCUCACACUCUACAUUGUCACCUGGAGUCAGCUCUGUAACCGUGGCCCCAAGUUUUUGUGAUUUACAUUUUCUCACACUACAUUGUCACCUGGAGUCAGCUCUGUAACCGUGGGCCCAAGUUUUUGUGGAAAUGGCUGAGACCGAUUUCCUCAGUGCCAUGGAGAGAACGACAGUGGGGAUCUAUGUUGUGAAAGACACUGCCAGCAGUGAACCCUCUGAUGUCAGGAUAGUCCUCGAAGGUGUGAUGGUGCUUCAAGAUCUUGAGAAUGUAGCACUUGCUUCUGCAAUGUUGUUUGGGCUCUUAUGCCUUGAACAUGCAGCACCCUACAAAGCUCCGCUACACCUUUGAGGCAUUUCAAAAGAUCAUCAUGGAGCCUCAGCAUCAGACACUUAAUAAUAUGAGCCUGUCAGCUGCAAAAACAGAACUUUUAGUGACACUAACUGACCAUGCACAGUUGCCCUAUAUAACGUUGCAGCCCGGUUCACAGCAAUCUUGCUCAAUGCUGGACCAAUUUUCAUGAAUUAACCACUAGAUAGCCUAAAUUUAUAUUGAUUGGCUGUAAAUGUAGCUGUUUUUUAAGUAUGCUUGUUUUUCCACUGUCCAAUUAACAUUUUUAUAUCUAUAAUUUCUUUAAAUUGACUGAUUAAUACUGUAAAUGUGCUGACAUUCCUUUUUGAUUAAAAGUACAUAUUCAGUA